CCAAUAGCGUAUAUUAAAGUUGUUGCAGUUAAAAAGCUCGUAGUUGAAUUUCGGGAUCAAUAUUUCGGUCAUGCCGUUGGUAUGCACUGUUAUCAUUGAUUUCUCACCUUCUAAAGAACCGUAAUGCCAUUAAUUUGGUGUUACGGGGAAUUAGGACUGUUACCUUGAAAAAAUUAGAGUGUUUAAAGCAGGCUCACGCUUGAAUACAUUAGCAUGGAAUAAUGAAAUAGGACAUCCGAUUCUAUUUUGUUGGUUUCUAGGAUCGAUGUAAUGAUUAAUAGGGAUAGUUGGGGGCAUUAGUAUUCAAUUGUCAGAGGUGAAAUUCUUGGAUUUAUUGAAGACUAACUACUGCGAAAGCAUUUGCCAAGGAUGUUUUCAUUAAUCAAGAACGAAAGUUAGGGGAUCGAAGACGAUCAGAUACCGUCGUAGUCUUAACCAUAAACUAUGCCGACUAGGGAUCGGAUGAUGUUAAUUUUUUAAUGACUCAUUCGGCGCCUUACGGGAAACCAAAGUGUUGGGUUC
rnacentral:rRNA from 1 species